CACACACACACACACACACACAGAUAGUUUAUCACCAACAAUGACACAACAAUGAUAACACAAGCCUUGUAAUCCGCGCCGUGGGUGGUCUUGGCAGCAGGCAGCAGAUGGAGGCAGGUUUAAGAGGAUGAAAAGUAUUAUUUAGGAGGACAAAGUUGUCCUGAAGUUGUUUUGUUGACAGAAGAAGAAGGAGCGAAGGCGAGUAGUGAUCACGUGAUCCACUUUGCGACGGAACAAGUUCCCACAGAACAUGAAUUGUUUGUCCCACUUCCUCGCUCAUUUUUACCACAAAAUGUCUUCUUUCCCCCGUCAGCGAGCAACAGGGCGGCUCCAGGUGAGCUGAGGCGGUGACUUACCGUCGUGUACAACUCGUUGACGGACAUCUUUUCCUCUUCCGCGACGACGAACAAAGUCCAACCCGGAAAUGUGGCCGCUACAGCAGGUGCAUGGCGCGCCGGUGCUCCCGGUGCUCAACUCGCCCAACUCGGACGGACCGAAGCCGAAACCCGGCAGAGUUGUUGUCGUCCGUACGGCCCUCCGUCACUUCCUGGAAAGAGGUCCACGCGUGUUGAGGUCCCGGCCCUCUGCCGCUCUCCGCCGCACUGGACUUUCCUGUCAGGUGGAUGGAAGCCGCGCGCUGUGAUUGGAGGAGGGGCACCGUGACGUCACGGAGUAAGUGGAGCGUUUGGAAGAUGACGUCAGCGUUACGCCCAUACACUCCCUGUGCAGGUAUGGGCGCUUGUUGGCCACGCCCACAGUCACCGCCCACAGGAAGGAUCUUAAGGUGGGCGGAGCCAAACAAACAUCUACCGUCGAUACCAAGGGCAUAGUAUCUUCUGAUCAGAUUGAUAUUUUUCAGUUACCCUUAUACAGAAACCAAAAUAUAUUUUGUUAUUAGAUUGUCUUGUAUUUCUACAUGUUUAUAUUUGUAUAUUUUGUUGUAUUUACAAUGUAAAAUUGUCUUACAUUAUUUGUAACAGUGCAUCCGGGAAGUAUUCACUUUUUUCACAUUUUCUUAUGUUACAGCUAAUUUAAAAAAUGUAAUGAAGUCAUUUUUGUCCUCAAAAUUCUACACACAAUACCACAUAAUGACACUACGAAAACAUUUUUUUAGUGCAGUUGACACAUUUAUCAAAGAAAUAAAAAAACGUAAAAAACACGUGUACUUAAGUAUUCACAGCCUCGGCUCACCUCAUGCAGCGCUGUGAAUACUUUCCAGAUGCACUGGAUAUAUUGUAUUCUAUUACAUUUAUAUAUUGUUAAGUCUUGUGUUUUUGAUUUUUUUUUAAUAAUGUGUUGCAUUGAUAUAUUUGUAUUGUAUUUAUGUAUUAAUAAAUUGUUCCUUAAUGUUAGAUUUAUGGUGUAUUUUCUAUAUUGCAUUUAUAGUUAUGUUCAUUUAUAUAAAAUUAAAUUGUCUUAUAUUGUCUUGUA